rnacentral:ncRNA from 1 species
UGUGAUCCAAUGACGGGAUAAGUACAUGUAUGACCUAUUUGACAGAGAGCCGGAGGAGCUGAGAACCGGUAGUAGGCUGCAUCGAAAAUGGUCCUUGAGGAAUCAUCCUUGAGCAAAGGUAUGUGAGGGGAUGACGUAGCUGGCGUUAACAGGGAAGUCAUAGACUUCAUGAGCCUUUCUGCUGUGAAGCGAAAGGGAAUGUUGGGUGGUACCACGUGAGAUAUGCUCUCGUCCCGAUU